GACGAACGCUGGCGGCGUGCUUAACACAUGCAAGUCGAACGGAAAGGCCCUGCGUUUGUGGGGUGCGCGGAUGGCGAACGGAUGAGUAACGCGUGAGUAACCUGACCUUGACUUUGGGAUAACUUCAGGGAACUAGUGCUAAUACCGGAUAGGAGCUCCUGCUGCGUGGUGGGGGAUGGAUAGCUUCGGCGGUUGGGGAUGGACUCGCGGCUUAUCAGCUUGUUGGUGGGGUAGUGGCUUACCAAGGCUUGGACGGGUAGCCGGCCUGAGAGGGUGACCGGCCACACUGGGACUGAGAUACGGCCCAGACUCCUACGGGGGGCAGCAGUGGGGAAUAUUGCACAAUGGGCGGAAGCCUGAUGCAGCAACGCCGCGUGCGGGAUGACGGCCUUCGGGUUGUAAACCGCUUUCGCCUGUGACGAAGCGUGAGUGACGGUAAGGGGUAAAGAAGCACCGGCUAACUACGUG
rnacentral:rRNA from 1 species